GAAUGAACACGCAACCAACGGAGCCACCCAGCCAGGGGAGAUGAGAACUGUCCAGAGUGACAUUGAGAAUUGCCUAAGUACACCUGGUGCUAGAGUUGUCCCUAUCUUGCCAGCUGACAAAGGUUAUUGUCAUCAUUGACUUUGUGUGCUCACUGUGUACUUGGCACCGCAUGCAACAUGCUCACCGCCUUCCAGAAAGGACGCUCUGCAUCGGCGUCAAGGCCAGCUUUCCUCGUCUCUUUAUUGUGCUUUUACACUACCUUAGGGACCAUGUCAACCGCGUGUAAUCAGGGGUGAUUCUAAUCCACACUUGUGUUCUAGUCCUGGACUUAUUUAUAUUUAAAUGUUCUUUGUUGAUGUUACUGCAAUAUUAAUAAAGAGUAUCAUUCAUAAUUUCA